CAGGGGCCGGGAGCAAGUGCACGCCGCGCGGAGGACGAAGAGGCUGCACGCACAGCCGCUGCCGGGGGUCGGGGCCAAGUGCGCGCCUCGCCGAGGACGAAGAGGCUGGCGUGCCCGGUGGCUCGGCUAGCUCCCGGGUCCCGGCCCCGCCUGGAGGAUUUAUAGGAGCAUUGUGACUGGACCAAGGACAAAGAAGUUCCCAACCUCCUCAGACCCUCGCUGCUGCCCAGAUGUCUGCCAUGGGGUGGCCAUCAUCGAAUCCACUGAGGGCGCAAAUAGAACAAAAAGGUGAAGAAAAGGUGAAUUCUCUCCUUUCUUGAGCUGGGACAUCCAACUUCUCAGACAUCAGAGCUCCUGGAGGCCUUCAGACUCCGAGACAUUACACCAUUGGCUCACCUGGUCCUCAGGUCUUUGGACUUGGAAUGAAUUACACCAUUGGCUUUCCAGGUCUUCCAGCUUGCAGAUGGCAGAUUGUGGGACUUUUCAGCCUCCAUAACUUUGUCAUCCAAUUCCCAUAAUAAAU
rnacentral:lncRNA from 1 species